rnacentral:rRNA from 1 species
GGCGAGUGAGCGGNAACAGCUCAAAUUUGAAAUCUGGCGUCUUUGGCGUCCGAGUUGUAAUUUGCAGAGGGCGCUUUGAAAUUGGCAGCGGUCCAAGUUCCUUGGAACAGGACGUCACAGAGGGUGAGAAUCCCGUACGUGGUCGCUAGCCUUUACCGUGUAAAGCCCCUUCGACGAGUCGAGUUGUUUGGAAAUGCAGCUCUAAAUGGGAGGUAAAUUUCUUCUAAAGCUAAAUACUGGCCAGAGACCGAUAGCGCACAAGUAGAGUGAUCGAAAGAUGAAAAGCACUUUGAAAAGAGAGUUAAAAAGCACGUGAAAUUGUUGAAAGGGAAGCGCUUGCAGCCAGACUUGCCUGUAGUUGCUCAUCCGGGUUUCUACCCGGUGCACUCUUCUAUAGGCAGGCCACCAUCAGUUUGGGCGGUUGGAUAAAGGUCUCUGUCAUGUACCUCUCUUCGGGGAGAACUUAUANGGGAGACGACAUGCAACCAGCCUGGACUGAGGUCCGCGCAUCUGCUAGGAUGCUGGCGUAAUGGCUGUAAGCGGCCCGUCUUGAAACACG